AACCCCUGCUGCCAGUUGCCAACGGGUGAAGCCGGGCACUCUGGCGGGACUGCCAUCGACAAGAUGGAGGAAGGUGGGGAGUGACGUCAAGUCAUCAUGGCCCUUAUGUCCAGGGCGACACACGUGCUACAAUGGCCGGCACAGCGGGAAGCGAGGCAGUGAUGCCGAGCGGAUCCCUUAAAGCCGGUCUCAGUUCGGAUUGAAGUCUGCAACUCGACUUCAUGAAGCUGGAAUCGCUAGUAAUCGCAGAUCAGCCAAGCUGCGGUGAAUACGUUCCCGGGCCUU
rnacentral:rRNA from 1 species